rnacentral:tRNA from 1 species
GCCCAAAUGGUCUAGCGGUUACGAUUCCUGCUUUGGGAGACUUGUCUCGAAUCUGCAGGAGGUCCCCGGUUCAAUCCCGGGUUUGGGCC